CACCGUGGGUGAUGUGAGCUGUCACACUCCAUUCCUGGACCUUGACUCAGUCAGCGCUCGGCCGAGUGUGUGGGAGCCCUUUGCUGCCUGAGGACGAAGUGCGCCUACACUUCUGUUUCUCUUGGGGGUCGGUGGUGUUACAUGAAAGAGGCCACGGCGCUCAGGCCCAGGCAACGGAGGGACGGCGUCCUGCUCUGAACACAGGAGCCGUAGAGAGUGUGACCUUGAUGUGGAGCCAGGGGUGCUCCUGAGGAGCAGGCGGUCAGAACUUGAGCCACAGAAGAGGAUCCCUUAGCCUGAGAUGGGAGCUAGGUCUCGCACAUGCUGGGAGCGGGCACCGGACGUCUUCUCAGGUGCUAGUACGUGGACGCGUCCCCGCACACUGGUUACCCCGGCGGCCUGCUGCCUCCCCUGUCUAGGCACUCUCUUCCAGGGGGUGUGCCGUGGGGCCUAGGAGGUUGCACCCUUCCCCUGGGCUGCACGUGGGCCCGCUCCGUACCGAGUGCCGCAGACCCACUUGCAGGGUGUUGGGAAUGAAGUGCGUCCCAGCUAGCCUCAGAGUGAGUAGUUGGGGACAAGUAGGGAUGGCACGAAGCUGGGUACAGCUAAGGGAGAGUGGAGUGAGGGAAGUGGUGCUCAAGUGAUUCUGGAAACUCCUGAUUGACGGCUGAGGGGUCUGCACUGUGUCUUGUAGACCCCACAGAGAAAGGAAAGGGCCAUGAUGGAACUGGCAUUUCAGGAAGCUGUGUCUGGGAAGGGCGUGGUGUGUAGGAUGACUGGAGGAACCUGGGACCGCAGGUGGGAUUCCAGGUGGGAAUCGGCUGGCGGAGGCGAGCCUUUGUCAGGUGUGGACUCAGUAGUCUGCUUCUGAAGCGCCAGGUUCUGUGGGGUUGCCCAAGAUGGGCCAGAGGGUAGGUCCAGAGCCUGUUGGCCCAGCUCGUAGUCCAGAGUCCCUUACUCCUGAUAAGGCUCAUGCUGGUGUGCCAUAUUUCCAGACUAUUCUAACUUAAUGGACCCAGAACUCAAAACUUUGGAAGUUGUGAAUAAGAAGGUAUUAGAUGUGGACUAUUUUCUCUGCUUACCAACUGAAUCAAAUGCUCAUUUUUAGGGGAAAAAAAAAUAUCAGGAUGAAAAAUUACCUUGCCACACUCAGAUACACAGGAAGACUUUAGCCUGUGUGUUUCCUAUUAUGUGUUUAUGUAUAUGGAUCUUCUUUCCAGUAUUCAUCUUACUUGGGAUUUGAAGUACUAACUUGUGGGAUGGCAGGGCCACCGUUCAUCAGCACCUCCAUCCUUUUCAGCUUAGAAAGUUAUGCUCUCUCUCGGUACAGAAAAACCUGUUUUCUGAAGAUUGAAGUCUGAUUUACGUAAGCAUCUUUGAUCCUUUCCUGUAACGUGUAAAGGCAUGGUAUACAAAGUGAGGCUGCAUGCGGGCCCCUGCGGCCCCCUCUGGCCUCUGUUCUUGCCGGGCGGCCAGGUGUCAGUGGGUGGUUAGGACAAGGAGGUGGGCUGAAGUCACAGUCACGCCUGGAUUCAUUUACCUACGCCUGUGGGUGAGAGGUAGAAGGGAGGGCACUGGCCCCAGGCCUCUGUCCUCCCCAGGAAUGGUUCCUGCUAAGGAUCAGAUGGCAGGCAGUGGGGAGAGUCCUCUCACUGCCAGGAAGGGUCCCUCCACCUCCAGUCUAUAGACUGGAGCAGGGGAAGGAGUGAGAAAGCAGUGAGUGAGCCUAGAGGACAAGACCUCAGCUGAGGCCCCGUUAGCAGGUCUCUGUGUGGAGGUGCUUGGGCCAGGACCAGUGAGGACAGCUGGCCCGCCUGGCCUUUGCCCACCACCGUGGCUGCUGGCCACGUGGCUGUGCUUCUGUCCUGGUGGUGGUUCCCUGCACUUGCUCACUUCUUCCACUCCCACCUGUGCUGACCUCCACCCCCUCUGAGCUCCUGUGCCUUCUGUGUGCGUCUGCAUUCACGCGAGGAAGCGUGGGGAAAAUGGUGUUCUCCCUCCAGUCAGUAGGAGGUACUUCGUCAUGAAAACAGAAAUGACUCUGGAAUCCUCGCUCUUACAGAAGUGUUUGUGACUUGUGCUAAGAAAUCGUGGUAGCACGGUGACUGAUUUCCGUUAGCCUCGCGUCAGUUGGGAACACGCAGGAUUUAGCUUCCGGUUGUGUAGUAGUCUUAAGAGGUCUUUUGUUCCUUUCACUAAUAAUAGAGUAACAAACUCAAUGUGAAAGUAGUAGCUAAUUGUUAGGGUGCUGUUUAUUCCAGUAGAGAAUACCAAGUGCCUGCUGUGUAAAAAUAAAGUAUAAUUUUCACUUUUUAACUUUGAAGUCUCUAGGUUUCUGUUGGUGGUGUUUUUUAUACUGACACAUUAAAAAAAAAAAAAAAGAUUUGUAGAUAAAAUUGGAAAAUACCAGCGUUAGCAUUUCUAAUUGGGAUAUAGGAUUAUAGAAUUGGGGCUUCAUGGGGACUAGGAGCAACACAGGAAGUUAGGUAGAAACCUUACUGCCCGAAGCUGAGACGGAGAGCGCAGCGCCUGAGUCGCGUCUACGGCAGACCGGCUGUAGCUGGUUUCUGAAAGCAGCCCGCUCGCCUUCCUGCCAGCUUCCCAUGUGGCGCCUGCCGCAGGCCUCCCCUCAGAGCCCGAGAACCCAGGACAGGGGGCACCUGCUCAGUGUCUUCCGCAGGCCUGCUCCUUCCUUUUCUAAACUGGGAAGGUGGCACCCUCGCCAACAUUUCAGGGAUUUCCACACUGUUUUUGUUUCUGGUCUUUUUAAAUACUUUCCACAGUGAAAGUAUAAAUUUAGAAGCAGAAGAAAUUUUUUGAAAAGAGAUUCCAGGGCGCCUGGGUGGCUCAGUCAUUGAGCGCCUGCCUUCGGCUCGGGUCAUGAUCUCAGCGUCCUGGGAUCGAGCCCCGCAUCGGGCUCCCUGCUCGGCGGGAAGCCUGCUUCUCCCUCUCCCACUCCCCCUGCUUGUGUUCCCUCUCUCGCUGUGUCUCUCUCUGUCAAAUAAAUAAAUAAAAUCUUUAAAAAAAAAAAGAUUUAAUGCUAAGGUGGUUAAUUCAUCAGCUUAUUAAACAAUAGAUUUAAUAAAAGUAAGUAUGCACCUGGCUCUCAUUGUUGUUUCUCCCACCGAGAAUAUCUUUAUCGGUACAUACACCCUUGGUCAUUUGAGGUGUGAGGCAGAAAUAAGUAGGGGAGAGUGAAUGACAUCAGAGGUCAUUAUCCAGGGGUAUUUAUUGAAUGUCUAAAUGCCCGUGGAGAGUGGAGAUAGUGAAGGCCUUCUUGAGGAAAUGCCUUCAGCAGCAACUUGCAGGGUGCGCACGUGUUAGCCAGGUAGAGGGUGGUGGGCAGAGAACUUGAGAAGAGGGGCCGCGGGCAAAGGCGCAGCCAUGUGGCUGCAGCACAGCAGCGGGGGGCAGGCCUUCCGAGGUGCGUCUGGGAGACGGGGAGCUGGGACCGCGGCUCGCACAGCAGAGUCGGCGCGCUUCUCCUGCGAGGGGCGGGGUGGCAAGUGUUCUCUGCUUUGUGGGCCUUGCGGCCUCUGCUGCGGCCACAGGGCGGCGGCCAGUGCGGGAGGGCGGCUGUGCGGUCUUGACGGGGUUGUGAAUGUUAGUAUCGGCCAGAGAAGUAGCCGUUGAAGGGUUUCAGAUAAAGGUGCGACAGGAUCAGAGUGGGGUUUUGAAAGUUUAUUGUUGGUCCUUCAGAGAGCACGGGUUCGAGGGGCUCAGGAGUGCAGGCAGAGCUGCAGUGGGGGUAAGCCACCAGCAGUUUGCUGAUGGAAAGUGCCGGAGGCGCCGGCCCAGGAAGCGGCCGCGGAGGCAGGUGGUUGGCCGGCCGGAGGAGGGGUAGAGCCGUCGUUGAGGUCGGGCCCUCGGUCUUGCUGCUGGAGUAUCGUAGGUGCCGAUGCAUGUUUGCGGAACAACAGCUUUCCGUGUGAUGGAUGAACUGGCUGUGGUGGGUGGAAGAGAGAAGUAGCAGGUUGCACCGUGCUUCUGUGCUCAGCGUGGGGCAUCUGGAAGUGGCAUGCACUGAAAAGUGGGGCUGGGGCAGGGAGAGAGUCAGGUGUUCAGUUUGCGCAGGCUACCUUGGAGAUCUGGGACGCCGGUCUCGCUAGGGGAGUGAGGAUAUUGUGGAGCAGACAGAAUUUGGAUGUCAGCACACCGACAGAUGCUCUAGAGAAAGUAACUCAAAGAAUACGGUCUGUUAAGUGCACAGUGUGCCCCUCGAAGACAGGAACAGGGCGUUUAUGCCUGCUCUUGAAACGAGACAGGAGUCUCGAAGUUCCCCAGUGCUUCACGUAACCUGUUUUUCUCCGACUUCUUUGUAAUGUCUUUGGUACUAGAAAAGGAACAUUCAGCAAUAAAAAUCAGAAGUCAUUUAAUUUACACGCAUUGCUAAAGCAGCGCCGUGAGGCUGAUACAUCGCAUAGGUCUGCAUCACUUAUAACAGUAGAAAGAGAUUUGUUUUCGGGAUUUCAAGAAUGUGUUUUAAGUGCCAGGCCAGCCGGCGCACGGUGGGGGGGGGUCAGCACGAUUGGGAGCUGUCACUUCGCUCUUGCCAGGGCUCAGCUUGCUUCCUCUGCUGGUCCGAUGCCACGGGAUCUGCAUGUGCACCUCACAGCCUGGAGCCCCGAGCAGAUCACGCUGGACAAGCCGCGCUGGCCGCACGGUGCCGUCUGUCAUCUUGCUCUCUCCUUGCUGCCGUGUGGUUGGCAAAGAAGAACCUGGAGGCCCCAGGAACUCCUACUGGUGUCUGUGUAGUUUGUGUUUUCUUUAGGCUGUUGUGGUCUUUGUAUCUGGCCUAGUCUUUUUUUGAUUUUUUUCCUAAUUAGUGUGUGGCUAGCUGCUGUGAGCCUGGAUGAUGUUUUGAUGUUAAGCUCCCUGACGCCCCUUCCACAAUGCGGUUCAGUUUUAUGAAAUCCAGAUGAUUUGGAACAGUAUGUGUGUGCAGUUUACUUUUUUAAAACAUUGCUUUUGGGGAAGUUUAGUAUGCUCCUUCUUACUCAUCUGUGGGACAACACGAUGCUUCCUGUUUAAUUUGGAUUUUUAAAAUACAAACAAUUCCCUCUUUAUUUUCCUAGCUCUUUUUAAAGUUUAAUAAAGUACCAAGUGAAGGCAAGUCAGAGCUGACUGGUUACGUAAGAGUCUGAGCGCGGCACUCGCUGCAGCCCGUGCUGAUAAAUGCUGCUCGGUGUCCUAAUGUCCAGCUCGGAGCUGUGCGGAUCCGGGUCCUCAAAGACCAGCUCUGUUGGUUGCUGUGGAAAACUGAGGGAAGCAGACAGUUGUUUUUUUCCUCAGUUCGAGAAGUUGCUGUAGUCCUGAGAUCAGAAUGUGGUUCUCUGUUGUCGGAAGAACAGGAUCGGCGGUGAGUUUCUUGAGGGUGCUGUUGUGGACGUGGAUGUUCUUGGGCAAACUCUUAACUGUGAUCCUUCCAGAACGCUGCUGCUUCCAUUAGAACUUGUUUAAACCUGCCAAUAACUAACUUGCUCAUGAAGCAACCGUUUACUGUAGCUUGUAAUUACACACCCAGGAUUUUGUUGCUCUGUAUUUUAAUGUUGCACAUUCUUAAGGUUCAUAAAAAUAAAAGGUUCCUAUAUCCUUUUUGCACAUACACACGAAAAAAACCCCAUAAAUGUACUCCUGCUGAUCAUAAUAUGGUGAAGAUUGCUUAAAGUAAUGCUGAGUGCCGUUGUAGAGCUUGCUGAGAAACAGGAGCGCCGUAACUUCCUGUGGAUGCGUUAGGUAGCUUUUACUGUCUCUAAAACCCAUUUUUGCUGAAAGUGAACCUAAAAGUGACCAUCUUAAAGGUACUUAGGAUAUUUUACUAUUUUAUUUAAAAAUGAACAGUUGAAUAGUGUCUUAAAGGUGUUCUAGUUUGUACUUUUAGACUAUAUACUAAUUUUAAGUUUUUAAAUUUUAAUUAGCUUAAAACACAAGAAAGAUCCCUAUGCCUUAGGAGAAGAUGAAAACAGUGUUUAUUAAUAUACCACCUUCUCGCUGUUUGAAGAGUAAAUUCCUGACAUGAACUACAAUUAAGUCCUUUGAAGAAUUUGAGACCUUCGUUCUCACAUUCUUUAAUCACAUUCUUUAUGUCCUUAUUGUGACCACAUGGGAAAAACCUAGUCAAAAAGAUGAAGUCAGGAAAUUUUGGUUCCGUUUUAAAAUCAGUUUCAAGGUACCCAGUGCGACUGCAGAAUUUCUUCCGUGGAAGUGUCAGAAAUAAUUUUCCAUUAAGUUGUAUGAAGUGACUAGUACCCUCCAUGGCUAGUGUUCGUGAAUUUGGAAAUAAUGUUUUAUAUUUUUGUUUUAAAAGCAAAAUAGUAAAUUAUAUAAAAGAAUAACUUUUUACCUAUUUUAUAAUAACAGUCUAAGCGCUAAUUUCUUGGAUUGAUGGAAUUACUGGAUUUUAUUAUAGUAUUAACGUAAUAGAAACAUUAAAUGUUAAUGCUCUAAAGCAGAACAAUUUCACAUGAUAGGACACACGGUAAGAAAUGAUCUUUAUGUGGCUCAGUGGGUGCAGGGGAUCGGUUGUGGAUCAUCCCAGUCUGAGGAAGGUCCAGACUGCCUCAGCCUCGCCCACUUGCUCUCAGCCAAGGCUUGGGAGUCAGGCCUCACCCCUGCACGAGGCACACCUGCAUGAGCAGUGGACAGAAGCCAGGAGCUCGCCUGUAUUGGUCUCAGUUCUUUCAUUCCCAGACCACUCUGAGAUCUCGGGAAAGCCCUCCACCUUUGCCGUCGUGCAGUGCGCACCGCGGGCCUCCUGCAGCCCAUCUGAGAGACCCAACUUAAGAGUCCCCUAUUUAGGUCAUUUCCUUCAUUUUAAAAAGAAGGAAAGGACAGAUGGGAUGUGUUUUGUUUUUUGUGUUUUUUUUUUUUAAGAUUUUAUUUAUUUAUUUGACAGAGAGAGACAGCGAGAGAGGGAACACAAGCAGGGGGAGUGGGAGAGGGAGAAGCAGACGCCCCGCCGAGCAGGGAGCCCAAUGCGGGGCUCUAUCCCAGGACCCUGGGAUCAUGACCUGAGCUGAAGGCAGAUGCUUAAUGACUGAGCCACCCAGGCGCCCCUGGGAUGUGUUUUGUGUUCUCUGCAGAGGGUAAGCCAUGAACAGAGCUGCACCUGGAGGCUGGUUCACAGAAACCAAGCGUAGACCCCUUUACGGCAUCCCACCUGUCUGGUGCUCAUGCUUGCAUGAGCUUGCCACCUAGCUCAUGCUUGCAGCGCUGUUGAGGGUGGAAUGUGUAUCAAGAACGAGUUUUACAAUUGAUUGUUUCAGAAUUAAGGUAAUUCCUACCAAGAAGAGAGAGCUCUUCAAUGUUUUUAAAACCCUAUUCUCAAUUUUAAUAGUUUACGAAUCGGAACUCCUUGUCUGAUGAGAAACAAAGCCGCUUUCAGACCCUGAGAAAGGAGCACGUGGGCAGAGCGCUGUACCGAACAUCCUGAUGAGUUUUAAAUGCUGCUGGGCUCUCAGGUCCUCCCAGCCCACUGUUGUUCUGGAACCUUCAGUAAAGAGCCCAGACUGGGUCUCUAGCCCUGGAAACAAUAGGCUUGAUUCUCUGCUGGCGUAUCUUCCUUCCUCCUCCUGCUGCCUUUUUUUUUUUUUUUUUGGGUUGUGUGCUAAUGAUGUUUUUAUGCUGUUAGUCAUACAUACUCCCCCACACACUCAGCUGGUCACUGGGCGUUCGAGGAGUAGGUUCCUCUGACUGGGUUUCUGUGCCCGAGGUGAGAGGACCUCACCCUCCGUCUUCCCGAAGGUGCGCCAGCAAGAGCCGGGACCAGCUGUCUGGGUGCGGCCUUUUGCCUGUAGCCGGUCCUCACGCCACACUAUAUCCAAAAUGUUAUUGAUUCCAGCAUGUAGUGAAUGUAAGUCAUUAGUGAUAUAUUUAGAUUCUUUUUUCCAUACAAAGCUCUGAUAUCUGUGUAUGUUGUAUACUUAGUACACAUUUCGGUUUGGACUAGCCACAUUCCCACAUUCUGAGUGCUCAGUAAAGCCACGUGUGGUCUCUGGCCACCAUACCGGACAGCACAGUCUUCAUAGUAUCUAAUGCCAUUGCACCAACAUUUGGUUAAUGUUUACAUAGCUCAUAUUUACAUUCUUUUACUGACAGAUAAUGUUACAUUGGUAUGUAGCAGCAAAAACUUCCUGGACCCCAUUUUCCUUUCUUAAUUGGAAAAGGAAUGGACUUGGGGCGCCUGGGUGGCUCAGUCAGUUAAGUGUCUGCUUUCGGCUCGGGUCAUGAUCCCAGAGUCCUGGGAUCGAGCCCCACGUCAGGCUCCCUGCUUGAAGGGGAAUCUGCUUCUCCCUCUCCUUCUGCCCCUCCCCUCCCCUCGUGCGCUCUCUCUCAAAUAAGUAAAUAAAACCUUUUAAAAAAAGAAAAGGAAUGGACUUGCCGUACAAAGUUCAGUCUUCCUAGGCUAGGUUAGUGUGUGCAUUAUUAUUCAGAAAUAAGACAUAAGUGGCUUAAUGCUUCUGAAAUAAUUUUGCUUUAUACAGUUUUUAUCAUCGUGUAUAAUUUUAUUUUUAUUCAGAUGAAGUGGGGCAGGUAGUGAGAGCUUCGUAAAGUUAAGGAGUUAUUGCCGCCUGACGGGUGGCAAGUUUGCCUCGGUGCUGAGCUGUUCCCAGUCCAAGUGGCAUUAGCAGGGAGGAAGCAGCACCUAUAUGCUCCUCUGUCCAACCUGUCAAGGUGGACAUUCCAGACCAGGGCUGCUGCAGCCAGGUGGAAACAUUGGGUCCCCUUGGAGUUGGCCAGAGAUUGUGGUGUUCUGGGUUGAAAGUAACUACCCAUGUUGAUUUUAUGUAUAUACACACAUAUGUGUAUGUGUGUGUAUAGUUAGAAAAUUCCUUAGACUUCUGGGGUGCUUGGGUGGCUCAGUCGGUUAAGCGUCCACCUUCAGCUCAGGUCAUGAUCUCGGGGUCCUGGGAUCAAGCCCCAAGUCAGGCUCCCUGCUCAGCGGAGAGUCUCCUUCCCCUCUCUCUUUGCUGCUCCCCCUGCUCGUGCUCGCUCUCUCUCUGUCAAACAAAUAACAUCUUUAAAAAUAAAUUCCUUAGACUUCUUUGAUUUCUGAGUAUCCAUCUUUAGAUUUGUUUUUCUAAAAUAAUAACCAGUGGAACUGGUCAUUUCUCUGUACAACAAUUGUACUGCAGUUUUUUAUGUCCAGUUUAUAACAGUGAGCUGCAUGUGAAGUAUAGAUAGGAUUCAAAUAAGCAGAGGUGGGAGGGGGCCAGAAUGGGAGGAUGGAAGGGAGUUCCAGUGGAGUAGAUCUGCUAAAGGGACCAUGUCUCCAGGAGAAGGUUAAAGGUUAGCAGAAUGGCAACAUGUUUACAGAAAUGUAAGCAGUGGGUCUGUUAAAUAAAGAGUAUUUCUAGGUAAGUAGUGCAAGGUUGAGACCACAUUAGUAAGAUUCAGAUGCUAACCAAAGCUUGGAUACCUCUUUAGAAUAUUCUAGAUCCACAUUCUUCACUUGUGUAUCACCCUCCCCCAAGAGUAUUUUUUUUUUUAUGUAUUUCAUCAUGCACCGUCAGUGACUUAAUUAUUAAGUCUGUUUUUAUGACCAACCUUAAAAGGACCUUUUAGAAGCCUACUGGGUCUUUGCAAUUGAGAUCUCUAAGAAUCAUUGUCUGUAAUUCCUCAGAUGAAGAUCUCCUUUUCUGAGUAGCAGAUACACUGAUAAAUUGAACUUGGAAUUAACGUGAUUGUAGCUUAGAACUUAGAUAAAUUCCCAUCGUCCAUUACCCAGCAACAGUAAUGGAAGAUCGCUUCUUUGGAAACAGUAUGUGUGGUACCGUAGUCAGAAAUGCUUAGGGCUCCUCCUUGUUAAACUAGGAACGUUCCAGUGUUACCAGCUCGGUCUGUGUCAGCUGCGUCAGCUGCUUCCUAACCCACGAAUAUGAUACCGAUGUACUCAUUCAGUGGAUUCUGGCCUGCCUCGUGUCAGGGUUUGAGAGGACGCUGUCGACCACACGGUAGGAGGAGAGGAGGCAGCAACCAGGGAAAGCGGGCGGGGAGAGCCGUCUGUGCUGUCAGCUGGAAUACAGGACAGAGCAGCUGUUCCAGGAACAUAGCACAUAGGUGAGAGAGAGCUUGUAUCCAUCCUGAGGUUGGGAAGGUAUGUGGCUUGGUGAAUAGUGGCAGGUGAGCCCAGGAAUCGAAUGACGAAAGCGUUUUGGCAGACAGAUUGCAUCAGACGUUUUGUGUGCAAAGUACAACGUAAACAAAGGCAGGAACACGGAAACAGGAUGGAAUGGGGGCACGUGAAGGAGCAUCUGGAUCAGGCCGAGCGUGUGGUGAGAGGGGCGAGAACCUGACCUCGGGUUCGGGGGGCGUGGUGCUGUGCACAGGCGGGCAGCUGCGCUGGUCUUGGGUCAGGAGCCCCACGGGGCGUGCUUCAGGAAGGGGUUCCUGCGGCAGGUGGCACGGAGGGGACCAGCAGGACAGUGACAAGGAGGGCUUGGUCAGGACUGUUGGGAGAUUUAUGCUGGAAACUUCUGCCUGUAUUUAAAGAUGUGACGGUCAUGAUUCUGUCCAGUAUCUAUAUUACAUGAUCAGUUUUACUUGAAUAUUUGAACGUAGACUUCAUAAACCUCACAUCGCAUGUCAGAUCCUAAACUGCCUCUCGAAAGGUGCUACGGGGUUUCCAGUAAUUUACAUAGUACUUGCAGUUCGUACAGAGUCUCCCACAUGGAAGCCUGGAUCAGUUGUCUAAAAUGGAAUGUGGGGCCUGGUAGCUCCCCUCAGGGGUGUGAUUCCUGGUCUGAACGAGAGGCUGAAGGCAGAAAGGGGUAUUGCAGUGGAGCUUCCUCCGUUCAUGCUGAGUGUGGAACUCCCCUUCCCAGAGUGAGAAUUGUGACAAAGGAGCAACAGAGGCUGUGUGAGCAGGGCCUUGACGGAGGGAGAAGCAACGGUUUUUUUCUCUUGUUCUUUUAUCAUUCCAUUUUGUGAUUUUUAGAAAGACAGAGUCCUCUUACAGUUUGUCUAAAUAAAUGUUAUUUGUUUCAUUAUUAAUAAUUUUUCUUAUAAAGAGUACCAGCAAUGGGGGGGGAGGUCUUGGUUUAUUGUUUUGAAAUGUAUAUAUUUUGGGGGGCACCUGGGUGGUUCCAUCUGUGAAGCGUCUGCCUUCAGCUCAGGUCAUGAUCUCAGGGUCCUGGGAUCGAGUCCCGCAUCGGGCUCCCCACUGGGAGCCUGCUUCUCCCUCUGCCUCUGACUCUGUGUGCUGCUUCCCCUGCUUAUGCUCUCGCUCUGUGUCAAAUAACUAAAAUCUUUUUAAAAAUUGAAAAAUUUUUAUAAAAAUGUAUGUAUUUGGUAUUUUAUUAUUUAUAUCACUGUUACUAAAAAUAUGCUAUUAGUAUUACUAGUAAACAUUUUUCUUUUCAAAGAUGGUAGUAAUUAAGCAUCUUCUUAAAAGGACAGUUUUUACGGUCUAUACUACAUCAUGAAGAUGUAAGUGCCCACCCAUUCACACUAAAACUGUAUCCUGAAAUGCUGUGAACAUUGCUUUGCUCUCGGUCAGACACAGAACACAGGAAACCGGUAGUUAUGCUUAGAACCUUUGAGAAACAAUCUGGCCUCAGGUAUUAGCUGUAAGGAAAUACCCUGGAGCAUUUGCAGAAAAGGAAAAGAAGGGGAUUUUCAGUGCCCCAGCCAAAAUUAUUAGACAGCUACAGGGAAGACUACUGUGGAAUAUAAGCUUCAUGAGGGCAGGGGUGUUUGUCUGCUUUGUUCACGGAUGUGUGUACAGAGCUUAGGAUAGUAUAAGGAAGCAUUCAGUGAAUAUUUGUUGAAGGAGUAAAAUUGUCAUUUAAAUAGCUGAGUUGUUGAAUUAAGCAGUCAAUCGCAGAUUACAUAAAAGUAUGGAAUAUAUUGGGGAAAAAUCAUUUAAGUAGAUGACAUGAGAAGGAAUACCCUAUGUCAUAUAACAGAUGGGGUCGGGGUGGGGCCGGCUUAGAAGUAAUUCCCCCGAUUGCAUGUUAGGUCGCUAGGUUCAGGGAAACCCAGGAUUGGCCUGGGCGAAGUCAGGUAAAAGGUGUAUCUAUUGCUCUAUUUCUCUCUCGCUAAGUGACAUGCUAAAAUUCAGGAAGUUGCCAUUUAUUGAGUGCCUACUGUAUGUAUUUUUUAUUGUGGAAUUUCAAACUUAAAGUACAAGCUUUGCCAACUGUCUCAGUGCUGUGUCGGUGGGGGGGUGGGGGGGGCGGGGAGCAGAAGGACCAGGCAGAGGUGUCAGCUUGCACUUGGUUAUCCUGUUGUACUGGAAGUGCUGGAUGAUUUGUAAGGGGCAUGCGUCUGUCUGUCUGGUAGGCAGUCGGGUGUCUGGGGCUGGGCAGGAGAUGUGCAGCGAGGGGAUAUGGUACAGACAGACACCGAGGAACAUUUGGAGGUGAACAGAUGGGAAAACCUAGACCGGAGGGUGGGGAGCUGCAAAAGAGAGGGCUUGAUUUUUUGCCUUGUGUAGAACUUCUAUAAACUCAGCCCGCAGGUAAUGUAACCACACGAAACUUGAAACACACGGUUUCCCAAAAUUGAGUUGUUUUGUUAAAUUGAGACAUCCUAUGCCAUUUUCGUAAUGAGAUACGUAAUAGAUGGUUUUAGGCUCUUGAAACCGUGGCAUGCUACAUGCCGGAUUUUCCCUGAGGGGAGAGCUCCCCAGUCAGGCUGUAGUCUCCAAACUGGCU